rnacentral:rRNA from 1 species
CCUACGGGGGGCAGCAGUGAGGAAUAUUGGUCAAUGGACGAGAGUCUGAACCAGCCAAGUAGCGUGAAGGAUGACUGCCCUAUGGGUUGUAAACUUCUUUUAUAUGGGAAUAAAACGUUCCACGUGUGGGAUUUUGUAUGUACCAUAUGAAUAAGGAUCGGCUAACUCCGUGCCAGCAGCCGCGGUAAUACGGAGGAUCCGAGCGUUAUCCGGAUUUAUUGGGUUUAAAGGGAGCGUAGGUGGAUUGUUAAGUCAGUUGUGAAAGUUUGCGGCUCAACCGUAAAAUUGCAGUUGAAACUGGCAGUCUUGAGUACAGUAGAGGUGGGCGGAAUUCGUGGUGUAGCGGUGAAAUGCUUAGAUAGCACGAAGAACUCCGAUUGCGAAGGCAGUUCACUGGACUGCAACUGACACUGAGGCUCGAAAGUGUGGGUAUCAAACAGGAUUAGAUACCCUUGUAGUC